rnacentral:misc_RNA from 1 species
GAACGAACGGCACUCCAGGAGGCCAUCCAAUCUCCAUUCUUGUGCUGGCACAAGGGCUAUCUAAUGUGUGAAUGUGACUCUCACAAUCCUUCAGAUUACAGAACCUCAAUUUGAUACCCUUCUUAUCUGCAAUAUCCUGUACUUUCUCCUUCAGAACUCUCUGUGCCUCAAGCCGUAAUCUCUUAGAAGGGGGUAGAGGUUUGGUACUUGAAUUAUUCUUUCUCCUCCGCAUUUUUAUGGAUCCAUCUUGCGAUGUAGAGAAACUGAAAUUCUGGAAAUUUGGGCGGUUAAAGAGUUCGUCAGUUGAGUGUGA